UAGUGUAUACUCCUGGUCCGUGUACUUUGAUAUUAUUUUGUCCAUGUUGCCCUGCGUUCUGUUUAAUCUUAGUUCAGUCUGUUUUCCCUGUUAGUUGUAGUUUUGGUAUACUAGUGAUCUGUCUGCUUAUGUUCUGGUUCAGUCACUUAUUCUCUGUUUCUUCCUGGUUAUCAUUAGUUUCCUUAUGGUCUUAUUGGUGUCUGUCUGUUUUCACCUGCCUGUGUCUCGUUAGUCUCAUGUCUGUCACCUGUGUUACUCCCGCCGUGCUCGUUAGUCCCUGGUGUAUAUAUGUUUGGUGUUUCUCUCCAGUCUUGGUCCGGUCAUUGUUUGUGUUACCCCCUGUCAGUCGUGACUUCAGUCUCGUCCAGCGUGUCGCCUCGCUGUUUUUCCGGCUCUUGGUGUUUUGGAUUACCUGUGUUGGAUUUGUGUUUCGUUUCUCAUUUGGCUUUUUCUGGACUCAGCCACUCAGUAUAUCCCCGAUACGAAUCAUGAAACACAGGCGGUUGUUUCUGACAGCGAUCACAGCGUAACGGCUGAAGAUCAGAGUCUCCGCUCGACGGUUUGACUGAGCCGUCUUCAUGAAGAUGCAACCUGAGGAGAGGAAACUAAUCAGCGAUCUAAUCUGGCCAUGAGGAUUUAUGUCUGCUUUACUGAUAUGUCAGCAGGUCCAUCAUGUGUUGGUUGUCUCAGUUAACAGUGGUGGGAUGUAACUAUAGGCCAUUUCCUUGUAAGCAUGUGACCCCUGAACUGGGAAACCGUUUCCAAGUCUCACCCAGCAUGACAGCGUUGAUGAUGAGCCCCACUAUGUUCUGCAUGAUGAGGACGGUGAUUGCAGUCGGACACUGCUCCGUUAUCAUACGUCCUCCAAAGCCGAUGGUCACCUGAACCUCGAUGGAGAACAGGAAGGCUGAAGUGAACGACCUGAGGAGAGAGAGUUCUGCUGUCAUGACUUGUUGAACUUGAUAUUUAGAAGACCAGGAUCCUUUGAGUUUCAUGUACACACUCUUCAGAACCGUUUCAUUUUGCCAAACAGAGUCACUUAUCAGUGUCUUGGGGCCCACUUUCAGAUUUUGGCAGAUAUAAUGGGUAUAUUUUUAGAAAAGAAUAAAUCUUCUCCUGCAGCUUUACAUUUUUCUGAUGUUUAGUGAAAUCGUCUUAAAUCAGUCUGGCCCUUUUUCUCAAGAUCUGCUCCUAUUUAAGGCAUCAUUUUGAUUACAUUUGGUCAGUUAUGAGAAUAAGACAGAUUCACAAAGCAACAAAAUGGAAACAAAAACAUUUUACAAUCCUGCAGCUGCAUGAUGGUGGUUAAGGAUCUUUCCACUGAUUAUGUGACAUUCAAGGUUUCAAGUGAAAGGGAUGGAAAAGACGGGGGGAAGUCUGAAAAGCAGUGAUGGAUGAAGUAUUUAGAUAAUUUAUUUAAGUACUGUAAAAAUGCUCCAUUACAUGAAAAAGUCCUUAUUCAAAAUGCUACAUACUGUAGCUGCAGGAGGUGAUUAAAACCACACAGAAGUUCAUUACCGGGCAUCAGUGAUAUCGGUGAGGUGCCUGCAGUGCCAAAAUGAUAAAAGCACAGUACCCACCCAGCCACAGCCUUUUUACACUGCUGCCAUCUGCUGUCACACCACCAGACUGCAGAGCAGCUUCUUCCCCCAGUGAGAAUCCUCAGCACUGAACCAUGUAAAAUAGUUUUAUUUCUGUAUAUAAUUGUAUAAUUUUUGUAGACUAUAAAACGUUUGCUCCUUGUGAGUGGCAUAAAGGGAACUACAAUCUUCACCUGUGUUGUAAAAUAACAAAUAAAUCUAACCUACCUUUUA